CUGUGUUAUUUUAGGAUGAGAGAGCUUGGCUGGAGCAUGUCUCUAUAUUUUGGUUGCAAUUUGGGGUAUGGAACUGGACCCUGGCCAGAUCUGUUCCUCAACUCUCUUGGUGACCUAUAGACCGGCCCAACGUGCAGGACCAGCUCCAGGUAGAGAGGCUGCAGCACACAUAUGUGGAAGCCCUGCAUGCCUACGUCUCCAUCCACCAUCCCCAUGACCGACUGAUGUUCCCACGGAUGCUAAUGAAACUGGUGAGCCUCCGGACCCUGAGCAGCGUCCACUCAGAGCAAGUGUUUGCACUGCGUCUGCAGGACAAAAAGCUCCCACCGCUGCUCUCUGAGAUCUGGGAUGUGCACGAAUGACUGUUCUGCCCCCAUAUUUUCUGUUUUCUUGGCUGGAUGGCUGAGGCCUGAUGGCUGCCUCCUAGAAGUGGAACAGACUGAGAAGGGCAAACAUUACUGGGAGCUGGGCAAGGAGAUCCUCCCGUGGCAUUAAAAGAGAGUCAAAGGG
rnacentral:sRNA from 1 species